GACGAACGCUGGCGGCGUGCUUAACACAUGCAAGUGGUGCGACGAACCAGGGCUUGCCCUGGGGCCAAGCCGCGAACGGGUGAGUAACACGUGAGUAACCUGCCCCGAUGACCGGGACAACCCGAGGAAACUCGGGCUAAUACCGGAUGUGGUGCACGGAUUUAAGUCUGUGUACUAAAGGAAGCUUCGGCCUCCGCAUUGGGAGGGGCUCGCGGCCCAUUAGCUUGUUGGUGGGGUAACGGCCUACCAAGGCAACGAUGGGUAGCUGGUCUGAGAGGACGAUCAGCCACACUGGGACUGAGACACGGCCCAGACUCCUACGGGAGGCAGCAGUGGGGAAUCUUGCGCAAUGCGCGAAAGCGUGACGCAGCAACGCCGCGUGGGGGAAGACGGCCUUCGGGUUGUAAACCCCUUUCAGGAGGGACGAAGUUUCACCGGUGAAUAGCCGUGUGGAUUGACGGUACCUCCAGAAGAAGCUCCGGCUAACUACGUGCCAGCAGCCGCAGUAACAC
rnacentral:rRNA from 1 species